AUGUUGCACACUACCGGGGGGAUGAGAACCCCCGACCGGGGUUCGACAACGGGCGGCAGCCCGUUGGACAGACUGGGCGCGCAGCGAACAGACUGCCCGCAGGGCGAGCGUAGCGAGUCAAUCCCCCCCUCACCGCCA
rnacentral:sRNA from 1 species